UUGCAUCGCAACUUUUUAAAAUAUAACACGUAUACUUUACGUAUAGGCUACGUGGAGGCUCCUCGGCCGCUCCUAUAUAUCCUUACGCCGGGCUCGGCCCCCCUCUCCUCCAGCGUCGGCUCCGGCCGUGGGGCCGCAGCGAAGACCCGCGUCCGCUCCGGGGGAUGCAGAGCCACCUCCGCUCCUCCUUUGCUGCGGCGCUGGGGAUGCCGUUGACUCCACCAGGUAUGUGCAAAGUCCCACCCUGUCACCAUCCCUCCCAAAUGUCAAUUUACACUCCAUCUGUGCUCUCCUAAGGAAGCAUCUAAAGCAUCUUCCUAAGGAAGUUUGCUUCCUCAGCACCGUGAUAUGAUAAUGAUGCUGCAGUCUCAGUCAUUGGCAAUAAAGCGGCUGUUGGCGCCGGGGCGGCUGCACCCACCAACCUCUCACCACGUGUGCAUUCAAUUCAUUAAAAAAUCAAUAUUGGAAAUCAUGGUAAGAACGAAAACCCCCCAUUUCCAGCUUUCUGGAAUAGCGUCUAUACUUGGAAAUAGAAAGCAACUGGAGGUGCACUCAGCAGCAGAGCAUGGCUGGUAGAUUCCCAGCUAGAGGACAGGGGGUAAAUACAGAAGCACACAUUUUUAUUCCUCUCUCAUCCUCAUUUUGGUAAGGGGGGGUUCACUACUCUCUUCCUUUAUAUUUUGACACUCGAGGCUUGCAGAAAUGCUCAACAUUAUAGCUUGCAAAGCGGCCUGGGAUCAGGUGAAAGACAUAUAGAGAGCACGCAUUCCAACGCAUGGAAACACGAUACUAUCAAUGCUAAUCAAUAAAAGCCUAACCCUAACCCUUACGAAUGACUUAGCCAUAUGCUGUGCAUGCACCUUGGCCCCCUGCAGCAGGCACGGGGCUCUGCCCUGGGGUUGUUGCUUCGAGCCCAGCGUGGCCUUGGUGUGCUUGGAGCAUCCCAGGCGCAUUGCAGCGCUGCUGCAUCGCGGCCGCUGUUUCCCAUGCGCUCCGUCCCUCCCAGGUGAUAACACCACGAGAAACAGUGUCACUUUUUCUUUUAUUUACUGCUUUAUUCCCCUGAUAACAAAAAAAAAAAGAAAAAAAAAGAAAAAGAGAAGGCUGGGAUUUCAGUGAUGUUAUUUUUUUUGGCUGGGGGUGAUGGGAUGGUGGCUCUGCGCCCUCCUGGAUGCCAAUGGCCAAACCUUUGGAGGGUGCCAUCACCCUUUGCCCAUGCACCACGGUGACGUAUUUCACGUCUGUUUGAUGGGUUUCUUUCCCCUCCCUUCCCUUUUUUUUUCCCCUUUUUUUUUUUUUUUCCCUCCCUCCAUUUCUGCAUUUCAGCCUUUGUCUCAUCUCCCACCGGCGCCUAACGAAGGGGCAGCCACUCCCACGCCAAUGGGGUUUUUGUUGUUCUUGUUUUCCCGGUGCUUUGUUCCCCUUUCCACCCUCUCUGUGGCCCUCAUCCUACGCUUAUGGGGAUCCCAGUAAGGGCACGGGGCUGGGGUGCCUGGGGAGGGAUGGAGAAGCACAAAGCCCAGGCACGACCAGGGCUCUUGUUGUCAUGGUUGUGAGCGAAAGAGUUAACCCAUUAGCAAUUCUGAGCCCUUCUUCCGAUAGUUAAACCUGAUUUGCAUGCAUUUGCAUAAUGAAUGUCAUUUGCAUUCCUGGAGGUUGGCUACUUCUGUGGGAAAAGUCAAAGCGGGAUUGCAGGGAGGGCGAAAAAGGG
rnacentral:lncRNA from 1 species